CUCCCCGAUAAAUCCGAGGCACUGCUUCGAGAUAUUAUCAAAAGGAGAGAAAUACCGACUUUCCUUCACAAGGACCAUUGAAGUUCCACAGCCUCUUCUUCUCAUCCGAUGUUCAGUUCUUCUUUCAAAAAGUGCUUCUGGAGCACUCUUAUCAGCCGCAUGACACGAUUCUUGAGAACCAGAAGCCAAAAAAGAGUUGUGAAGCAGUUGAUCAUGCUAAGAGAUUGAAGGAGGAUUUAAUGCUUUUGCUGAGAGGGUUAUCAUGUUGUCCAUGUGGAUUCUUUGUGGUUUAUGGACAUGGCGCUGGUUGCAUUACCUGAGAAUAGAGAGAAUGGCAGGCCCUGUAUUACUUUCUGUCAAUCCAUUUAAAAAUGUCCGGUUAUAUGGGGAUGAUGCAGCAUACCAUGCAAUGGUAGCAGAGCUGAAGUGGAUCAGAUCGGAUAUGACAUUAUGCAACAGAGAUGUGGGUGUGCCUGCAUUUGGAAGUACCACCACCUGACAUCACAUGAUAUCUCAUCUUCUUGUGAGAUAUUGAUUGUAGUCAGCCAACACUAGGGCAGAAAGUGAAAAAAGAA